UACAUUUAAGAUCGUGAAGGUGACAUUGUAGGUGUUGGGCUCUGGCACAGGCACGUGGCGGAGCCUCUGCUUUGGUUUGAGAUCAAUACACGACAGCGU